rnacentral:rRNA from 1 species
AUUGAACGCUGGCGGCAUGCUUUACACAUGCAAGUCGAACGGCAGCACGGGGCAACCUGGUGGCGAGUGGCGAACGGGUGAGUAAUACAUCGGAACGUGCCCAAUCGUGGGGGAUAACGUAGCGAAAGUUACGCUAAUACCGCAUACGAUCUAAGGAUGAAAGCGGGGGAUCGAAAGACCUCGCGCGAAUGGAGCGGCCGAUGUCAGAUUAGGUAGUUGGUGGGGUAAAGGCUCACCAAGCCGACGAUCUGUAGCUGGUCUGAGAGGACGACCAGCCACACGGGGACUGAGACACGGCCCAGACUCCUACGGGAGGCAGCAGUGGGGAAUUUUGGACAAUGGGCGCAAGCCUGAUCCAGCCAUUCCGCGUGCAGGAUGAAGGCCUUCGGGUUGUAAACUGCUUUUGUACGGAGCGAAAAGGCUCUCUCUAAUACAGUUUGCUAAUGACGGUACCGUAAGAAUAAGCACCGGCUAACUACGUGCCAGCAGCCGCCGUAAGAC